CUUAUGGUUUGCUGCUGUCCUCGCCAUAGUGAAUGAGUUCUCCUGAGAGAUCUGGUUACUUAAGUGUGUGGUGCCUCACCUCCAAUUUUCUCUCUCUUGCUUCUGCUUCCAUCAUGUGACUUACCUGCUCUUGCUUCAUCUCCUGCCAUGAGUAAAAGCUCCCGGAGACCUUCCUACGAGCUGAGCAGAUGCCAGCACCAUACCUGUCCAGCCUGCAGAACUUCAUCAGAGCUGUUUUGGUUAUUUCUACAAAAUAUAUCCAUGUAAGUGAAUGUUCCGUCAGAGAAGCAGAGGUAAUAUAAAUGAUAUUGAGUAAGAUAUUUAUUGCAGGGAUUGGACCUUACGCAACUGUGGGAGCUUGAAAGAUGUCUAUGCAAAUUUGUUGCCACGCAACUAAGGCUAGCUGAAAGCCACUAGUAUCAGCAGAACUGAAAGUUGUAAAGAAAAUCUAUCUGUGGACUUGGGGUUGGCUGGGACAAACUGGAUAUUUUGGACCCCAAAAGACAAUCUCUAUCUACAUCUGUCUCUAGCCACCUCCAACGUCAACAACACAAGUGAAAAUGCAGUAGUUCCUGGCACUCUUCACAUUUAUACAUGCACAUUCUAAGAGGAUUAAGAAGAUCUCCCAGGAGUGGAGGGAACUUCAGAUGCAGCUGCUGCCACAAAUCAGUAAGGCAGAGAGUUUUCUCUGGUUAGUGGAAGAAGAACUAACAGAUUUGGAGCAUGAAGAUUUGAAGCUGCUGUUGUUGGCUGACAAUGGGGGGAGCUGUGUGUCAACAAAUAGAGACUUAAUCCUACAACUGCAAGAAACUAAAUUUUGAACAAUGAGCCUGGGAGUGGAUCUAUGCCCCAGAGCCUCCAGAUGAGAACUCAGCCUAAAUAACACCUUGAUUUCAGGCCUGUGAUAUUGAACAAAGAACUAGCCACACCUUGCUAGACUUGACCUACAGAACUGUGAUCUAACAAGCUGACAUUUAUUUUCAGCCAUUUUGUUUGUGGUAACUUGCUAUGCAGCAAUAGAAAACUAAUGCAGCUUGCCUCCGCUCCACAUGGCUGGCUGGAGUAUACAGAUUGAGAGCUGAAGGUUCUAUUUCCAAGAUGGCUCACCUACACGGUUGGCAAAUUGGUGCUCAUUGUAUGUGGGAUGAUAAUGGCUGGAGGCUUCACUUUCUCUUCAUAUGGGCCUUUACACAGGCUGCUUGGCUUCCCUACAGCAGGUGGCUAAUUUCCAAGAGCAAGAGUCCCAAGAGAACAAGGAGAAAAUAAAUGGCAGCUUUAUGACCUAGCCUAGGAAACUACAUAACAUAAUUUUCAUCAUAUUCUGUUGGUUAAGGCCAUCACAAAGGUCUGUUAAGGCUUAAGAGGGAGAAACAUAACUUACCACUCAAUCAGAGCAUCUUCAACAUCACAUUGUAAGAAAUGUAUGAGAUGUGAUGCUUGUGAUAGCCAUAUUUGAAACAUAUGAUUACAUGGUGAUGUAAUGACUCACUCCCAUCUCAAUAUCCAUUGUUUUUAAAUUGUUAACAUUUGAGGGAAAGUUGAAAAUGAUGACAGUGCAAAAAAAUUUAAAAAAAAAAGCAUUGUUACAUCCAGUGUAGGUCAGGGAUAUGAAUGUGUUUGAAUAAUAAAUCCCAGAAUAAUAAAUGUCAAGAACACCUGCUAACUUUAAUAUUAACUUAAAUUUCGAGAAAACUCCCAAGAUGUUAAAAAUAGGCAGUGAGAAUAAAAAUUGGGAGCUAUUUGAAUAUAAAUGUGCUAUUUUAACCUUAGUUAACUUGAAAAAAUUGAAAUAUACCACAAGUGUUUUCUUGAACACUUAAUGUUUGUAACAUUAAUAAUAGUCACAUUUCAUACAUUGCAUAUUUUGCUUUCCUUGAUAUGUAAAUGCUAAGAAACUAUAAAACUAUUAUUCACCCAGAUAUAAACUGCAGGCAGUUUUUCUAUUACAGAGUUAAGUGUAUGAUUUUGGCUUUUUUUUCCAGAAAAUGAAAAAGUUCAAUAUUGUUUUUAUUUACAGAAUAUCAUGAUAAAUAAAUAUAAAAAGCCAUAACAUUAGUCCUUAAGAUGAUCUAGACUGCAUAAAUAUAUACAAAUUAUUCCUCUUCAUCUUCUAUACUUGGAUGAUUAAAAAUAAUUGAAUCUCACUACUAAGUGAACCAGACAUAAGGAAACCACACUUCAAUUCAUGAAAGCAUAUGCAUUCAUUUCUAAAGUUAAAAUUUUGGUCGAAUAAUGUAUAGAUUUGUCAAAAUAAAAAUGACUUCCAUUUUAUAUAACGUCAUAAGCCUAGAAUUUCACAAUUAUAAGAGAAGCUUUAUAUAAAUGACAAAAACUAGGAAAUGCAUUUUUCACAUUUUAAUUACAAUUCACAUGUCUGUAUCUCCUGCUGUGAUGUUUUGCCAAAAAGAGAUCUCAUUUGUGAAACUGCCAGUAUAGAAAGUGACAGAUGGUAAGACCAGUUUCCAACCUGCUAUAGUACUGGUUUAAUAUGGUUUAGAUUAUUUUAUUAGCAUUGUUUACUUUUAUUAUAUAUCUAAGUAGUACCAGAAUACUAUUACAGUUUGUUUCAUUUCUUCUAUGGUUAUAACUGUAUCUAUUUAUAUGAUUUAUAUACCUGAUUUAGUUUUAGUUUCAGAUUUUAUCAAUACACUAUUUUUAGGUACGGUUUAACUGAUGUUUUAUUUUAAAAAUAGGACAAAAUGUCCUAUUCAUUUUGAUAAAAUGUCUACAACCCACAUAGAUACCUAGGGACAAUCAUAAUAGAAAAACUCAAAAGCCCAAUUAAAAGAAAAUCACUUUGAUUAUAUAACCCAUAGCCAUCAAGAAAUUAAUCAAUUAAUUGGGUUAACUUUUUAAAAAUAUUACAAUCAGAAAAAAUAGUACAACAGUUCACCCUUAUCCACAGUUUUACUUUCUGCUGUUUCAGCUACCUGAGGAACGUUGCAGUCCAAAAAUACUAAACAGAAAAUUCCAAAAAUAAACAAUUCAUAAGUUUUAAAUUGUGUGCCAUUUUGAGUAAUGUGAUAAAAUCUCAGUCCUUCCCACUCCAUACGCCGGGACGUGAGUCAUCCCUUUGUCCAGCAUAGCCAGCUGUACAUACUACCUGCUUGUUAGUCAUUUAGUAGCCCUCUUGGUUAUCAGAGCGCACACGCACACACACACACACACACAAAUAUAUAUGUGUGUGUGUAUGUAUGUGUAUAUAUAAAUGUUUUUAUUCCGUGUGUGUGUGUAUGUGUGUGAUAUUAUCUAUGGUUUCAGACAUUCACUGGGAGUCUUUGAACAUAUCCCCCAAGGAUAAAAGAGAACUACUGUAUUCAAACAUAAAAAAGUAUUCCAUGUGAAAGCAUGAAAUCCUAAAGUUAUUUUCCCAAAGACCUCAUUAGUUAUAUUUGGAAAUAGAAAAGUGGCUCAUGCCUUUAAUCCCAGCACUUUGGGAGGCUGAGUGUGGAGGAUCCCUUGAGCCCAGGAGUUCGAGACCAGCCUGGGCAACAUGGUGAGACUCUGUUUCCAAAAAAACAAUUAAUUAAUUAAAAAAAUAAAGAGAAACAAAGAUGUGAAAAUGAUAUAAAAGUUUCUAAUGGUGAAUCUGUUUACAAAAUUUUUUGUUUUAUGUUAAUAAACAUUAUUUUAACUCAGUUUUCCUCCCUUAAUAAACAGAGAGGCUUAAAUUCAGAGAACAUUAAUGUUAGCUCUUGCCUCCUUUCACUACAUUUCACCACUUAAAUGUGAAAAAUGCAUUUCCUAGUUUUUGUCAUUUAUAUAAAGCUACUCUUAUAUUGUGAAAUUCUGGGCUCAUGGCGUUAUGUAAAAUGGAAAUCAUUUUUAUUUUGACAAAUCUAUACACUAUUCGAAAUUUUUUCAGCUCCCUAAACUGGGUAGUCUUCCUGGAAAUUCAAGAUUACUUCAGUUGCUGGGUAAGAGAUGCCUCUCCAUGUCCUCUAUUAUCCAUCCUCUUAGCCCACAAAAUGGGCUUAGAAUUACAUCAUUUGGUAAAUCCGGGACAUGAUAGCCAAGAUACAAGGAUAGUGGCUUACAUUCACCUUUAUAGUCUUGCUCCCAAGUAUGUCCUACAGCAUGAAUCCUAGGUGUCUUGUGGAGUUUCCAGACCAAAGACAGCUCAUGCAGUGAGUGCUUUGACCCAGUCACCUGAGUUUAGCUUCUGCCUAGAUUUCCACAUGAAUAGAUCUUGCUGUCCUGCCACUGGGCAGAAUUUCCACAGCAAAAAGACAAUUUACCAAGUAUAGUCACCACUAUCAGAUAUCUGAAGAAUAAUUUUAUUUAAAGUCUUGUCUACUGUGCCUUGUCUACCUGGAAACUUGCCCAGCUAAGAGUUUUCUACAUUAAGAUUGAGUUUUUCUGUGCUCUCUGGACCUAGAACUGCAGCUGAGUCCAUCUGCACAUCUCCUAUCUCACACUUUCUCAUCAGUCCUUGUCUUGAACUAAGUGCCAGUUUUAGCCUUGAUGUCAAUUAACUAGUCCUGUCGCUCUAAGGUACUAAUGAUGCCACUUUCAUAUUACAAAAGUCAUCACAGAAGGAUAAUUUACUUCUUAGUAAUAUGAAAGAAAUCCAGAAUGCUAAUAACAUAUGCGUAAUAUUUUCUUGAAUUUUUGUAUUCCAUUAGGCUAAAACAACUAGGGGAAAUGGUCUUCAUAUAUUUUUUCAUAAUGAUUGGCUAAUCACGAUAGAGUAUAAAGUAAAUCAAAGAAACAUAAAAUAGCUUGGAAAGAACAAAAGAAAUGCAAUUUAAAAAUGUUUAAUGACACUCCACCUACAAACAUUGUUUUACAAAUGUAUUAAAGUUAAUUCUCUUUCUAAAAUGUCUUAGACUAGUAAUAGGGUUGGGGAAAAAAAUCUCCCUUUCCUUCCCUGGGCUAUAAUUUUACUUUUUAGGUAUGACUACUGAGGAAUUUCUAAUUUGGCUCAUCACUUCAGUGGGAAUUCAGUGCACAUAAGGGGCACAUAUGUAAUUGGCAACCUAAUUUUUCUGCUUUCAUCAAAUGGUGCAAUGCCAAAUCUUCAUUGAACUUGCCAGUUAAAUGCACUUGGGAACCAAACAGCAGCAAGCAUACAUGAGAUUAAAAUGAACAAAUUGGAAAGAGUCAUUAACUUUUUCUGUUUUCCUAUCACAACAAAAAUUGUAUCAUUGAAAGUGUUGCAAAGUGGGGAAUUCUACUUGAAACAUUAAACAAUCUUAAAAGAGAAUAAUUCAUUUACUUAACUUCUAAAAUGUGGUUCAUUAUAAUUUAUAAAUGGGGUUUCUAGUGCAGAUUUUUUUCAACAAAAAUACAAAAUCAUUAAAAUGAAUAAACUUUUCAGGAGUAUGUUUUAAGUUAUAUGUUUCACAUGUCUUUCUGGUCUAGUGCAUAUAAAUUCUAGCCUUUAUUUGGAAAGAAAAAUUGUCAGAAAAUUAAGCAAGAAAUGUUGGCUUCCUGUAAUACCGUAAUGAAUAAAGGCAAUUGACA
rnacentral:lncRNA from 10 species